CCCUUAGAUGUUCUGGGCCGCACGCGCGCUACACUGACGAUAGCAACGAGUUUUUCCUUCGCCGAAAGGUGUGGGUAAUCUUUUGAAACAUCGUCGUGCUGGGGAUAGAUCAUUGCAAUUUUUGAUCUUGAACGAGGAAUUCCUAGUAAGCGCGAGUCAUCAGCUCGCGUUGAUUACGUCCCUGCCCUUUGUACACACCGCCCGUCGCUACUACCGAUUGAAUGGUUUAGUGAGGACUCCUGAUUGGCGCCGCCGCCCCGGCAACGGAGCAGCGGACUGCCGAAAAGUUGUUCAAACUUGAUCAUUUAGAGGAAGUAAAAGUCGUAACA
rnacentral:rRNA from 1 species